UACGUAGGGGGCAAGCGUUGUCCGGAUUUAUUGGGCGUAAAGAGCGUGUAGGCGGCCUUACAGGUCAGCUGUGAAAACUCGAGGCUCAACCUCGAGACGUCGGUUGAAACCGUAUGGCUAGAGUCCGGAAGAGGAGAGUGGAAUUCCCGGUGUAGCGGUGAAAUGCGCAGAUAUCGGGAAGAACACCCGUGGCGAAAGCGGCUCUCUGGGACGGUACUGACGCUGAGACGCGAAAGCGUGGGGAGCAAACAGG
rnacentral:rRNA from 1 species